UACGGGGGGGUGCAAGCGUUGUCCGGAAUUAUUGGGCGUAAAGAGCUCGUAGGCGGCCUGUUGCGUCCGCUGUGAAAUCCCAGGGCUCAACCCUGGGCGUGCAGUGGAUACGGGCAGGCUGGAGGCAGGCAGGGGAGAACGGAAUUCCCGAUGUAGCGGUGAAAUGCGCAGAUAUCGGGAGGAACACCGGUGGCGAAGGCGGUUCUCUGGGCCUGUACUGACGCUGAGGAGCGAAAGCGUGGGGAGCAAACAGG
rnacentral:rRNA from 1 species